GCAUAUCAAUAAGCGGAGGAAAAGAAACCAACAGGGAUUGCCCCAGUAACGGCGAAGUGAAGCGGCAACAGCUUCAAAUUUGAAAUCUGGCUUCGGCCCGAGUUGUAAUUUGCAGAGGAUGUUUAUGGUGCGGUACCUUCCGAGUUCCCUGGAACGGGACGCCACAGAGGGUGAGAGCCCCGUCUGGUUGGAUACCAAACCUGUGUUAAACUCCUUCAACGAGUCGAGUAGUUUGGGAAUGCUGCUCUAAAUGGGAGGUAAAUCUCUUCUAAAGCUAAAUAUUGGCCAGAGACCGAUAGCGCACAAGUAGAGUGAUCGAAAGAUGAAAAGCACCUUGAAAAGGGGGUUAAACAGUACGUGAAAUUGUUAAAAGGGAAGCGUUUAUGACCAGACUUGUGUCGUGUGGCUCAUCCGAGGUUCUCCCCGGUGCACUCCACACGGCUCAGGCCAACAUCGGUUCUCGUUGGGGGAUAAGAACAGCAGGAACGUGGCCCUCUUCGGAGGGUGUUAUAGCCUGCUGUACGAUACCCUGAUGGGGACCGAGGACCGCGCUUCGGCUAGGAUGUUGGCGUAAUGGUCAUUAGCGACCCGUCUUGAAACACGGACCAAGGAGUCGUCCAUUAGAGCGAGCGUUUGGGUGUAAAACCCGCACGCGUAAUGAAAGUGAAAUUAGGUGAGAGCUUCGGCGCAUCAUCGACCGAUCCUGAAGUUUACGGAUGGAUUUGAGUAAGAGUUUUAACGGACGGACCCGAAAGACAGUGAACUAUGCUUGAAUAGGGUGAAGCCAGAGGAAACUCUGGUGGAGGCUCGCAGCGGUUCUGACGUGCAAAUCGAUCGUCAAAUUUGAGCAUGGGGGCGAAAGACUAAUCGAACUGUCUAGUAGCUGGUUACCGCCGAA
rnacentral:rRNA from 1 species